UCGGACGUUGUGCAGGGUGCACGCCCGCCUCCCGUAUAUUAUCCUUUCCGUGCAUCAAGCGGGAGUACCGGGUUCGAUUCCCGGCGUCCGGU